rnacentral:miRNA from 1 species
GUCCAAGAACUCGGCCUCCCCC